rnacentral:rRNA from 1 species
CGGGACACGUGGUAUCCUGUCUGAAUAUGGGGGGACCAUCCUCCAAGGCUAAAUACUCCUGACUGACCGAUAGUGAACCAGUACCGUGAGGGAAAGGCGAAAAGAACCCCGGCGAGGGGAGUGAAAAAGAACCUGAAACCGUGUACGUACAAGCAGUGGGAGCACGCUUAGGCGUGUGACUGCGUACCUUUUGUAUAAUGGGUCAGCGACUUAUAUUCUGUAGCAAGGUUAACCGAAUAGGGGAGCCGAAGGGAAACCGAGUCUUAACUGGGCGUUAAGUUGCAGGGUAUAGACCCGAAACCCGGUGAUCUAGCCAUGGGCAGGUUGAAGGUUGGGUAACACUAACUGGAGGACCGAACCGACUAAUGUUGAAAAAUUAGCGGAUGACUUGUGGCUGGGGGUGAAAGGCCAAUCAAACCGGGAGAUAGCUGGUUCUCCCCGAAAGCUAUUUAGGUAGCGCCUCGUGAAUUCAUCUCCGGGGGUAGAGCACUGUUUCGGCAAGGGGGUCAUCCCGACUUACCAACCCGAUGCAAACUGCGAAUACCGGAGAAUGUUAUCACGGGAGACACACGGCGGGUGCUAACGUCCGUCGUGAAGAGGGAAACAACCCAGACCGCCAGCUAAGGUCCCAAAGUCAUGGUUAAGUGGGAAACGAUGUGGGAAGGCCCAGACAGCCAGGAUGUUGGCUUAGAAGCAGCCAUCAUUUAAAGAAAGCGUAAUAGCUCACUGGUCGAGUCGGCCUGCGCGGAAGAUGUAACGGGGCUAAACCAUGCACCGAAGCUGCGGCAGCGACGCUGAUGCGUUGUUGGGUAGGGGAGCGUUCUGUAAGCCUGUGAAGGUGUGCUGUGAGGCAUGCUGGAGGUAUCAGAAGUGCGAAUGCUGACAUAAGUAACGAUAAAGCGGGUGAAAAGCCCGCUCGCCGGAAGACCAAGGGUUCCUGUCCAACGUUAAUCGGGGCAGGGUGAGUCGACCCCUAAGGCGAGGCCGAAAGGCGUAGUCGAUGGGAAACAGGUUAAUAUUCCUGUACUUGGUGUUACUGCGAAGGGGGGACGGAGAAGGCUAUGUUGGCCGGGCGACGGUUGUCCCGGUUUAAGCGUGUAGGCUGGUUUUCCAGGCAAAUCCGGAAAAUCAAGGCUGAGGCGUGAUGACGAGGCACUACGGUGCUGAAGCAACAAAUGCCCUGCUUCCAGGAAAAGCCUCUAAGCAUCAGGUAACAUCAAAUCGUACCCCAAACCGACACAGGUGGUCAGGUAGAGAAUACCAAGGCGCUUGAGAGAACUCGGGUGAAGGAACUAGGCAAAAUGGUGCCGUAACUUCGGGAGAAGGCACGCUGAUAUGUAGGUGAAGCGACUUGCUCGUGGAGCUGAAAUCAGUCGAAGAUACCAGCUGGCUGCAACUGUUUAUUAAAAACACAGCACUGUGCAAACACGAAAGUGGACGUAUACGGUGUGACGCCUGCCCGGUGCCGGAAGGUUAAUUGAUGGGGUCAGCGCAAGCGAAGCUCUUGAUCGAAGCCCCGGUAAACGGCGGCCGUAACUAUAACGGUCCUAAGGUAGCGAAAUUCCUUGUCGGGUAAGUUCCGACCUGCACGAAUGGCGUAAUGAUGGCCAGGCUGUCUCCACCCGAGACUCAGUGAAAUUGAACUCGCUGUGAAGAUGCAGUGUACCCGCGGCAAGACGGAAAGACCCCGUGAACCUUUACUAUAGCUUGACACUGAACAUUGAGCCUUGAUGUGUAGGAUAGGUGGGAGGCUUUGAAGUGUGGACGCCAGUCUGCAUGGAGCCGGCCUUGAAAUACCACCCUUUAAUGUUUGAUGUUCUAACGUUGACCCGUGAUCCGGGUUGCGGACAGUGUCUGGUGGGUAGUUUGACUGGGGCGGUCUCCUCCUAAAGAGUAACGGAGGAGCACGAAGGUUGGCUAAUCCUGGUCGGACAUCAGGAGGUUAGUGCAAUGGCAUAAGCCAGCUUGACUGCGAGCGUGACGGCGCGAGCAGGUGCGAAAGCAGGUCAUAGUGAUCCGGUGGUUCUGAAUGGAAGGGCCAUCGCUCAACGGAUAAAAGGUACUCCGGGGAUAACAGGCUGAUACCGCCCAAGAGUUCAUAUCGACGGCGGUGUUUGGCACCUCGAUGUCGGCUCAUCACAUCCUGGGGCUGAAGUAGGUCCCAAGGGUAUGGCUGUUCGCCAUUUAAAGUGGUACGCGAGCUGGGUUUAGAACGUCGUGAGACAGUUCGGUCCCUAUCU